CACCAAACUCUUUCCUACACACUUUGCAGAACGCUUUACUUUCAUCAUGUAGGGCUUUGGCAAUCCAUGGAUACUUCCCCACCCACUCCUCCCGGUACCUGCAUAGACGUUUAAGCUUUUUUGCGGCGUGUUGGGGUUCCGGUACACCAGCCAUGUCAACGAAACGAAUUAAUGAAAAUUAGCUAAUCAGUGCAUAUCUUAAUGCGCGCCUAAAUAUAAAAAAAAAAACAAGAUGCUGCAGCCAAUGAGCAGCCGGCGGGGGCUGGCUGCAGGAUGACUCAACCUGCUCGCUCAUGUUUUAUCAGAUAAUAACUACUCAAGAUUUUGCUUCAGUAUAAUUUUCAGGACAAUUAGAGCGGGAUUUGGGAUAAAGAUUUUGCUUCAGUAUAAUUUUCGGGACAAUUUGAGCAGAAUUCGGGAUUCGGGACAGCAGCUUAAAUUUCGGGACUGUCCCGAAUUUUUCGGGACGUCUGGUCACCCUAGUAUAUCUGCAUAUACCCUGCACUACACCACUGCUUAUACAGCCUUCCGUACCUUCUUGAUUCCUGCGCUCUGCCAUCGAGCGACGGCUUGUUCCAUCUCAAAAAGCAUCUCAAAAAACAUUAGCGCGUACCUUCUCAGGAACUGUUCCACAACUGUGGAAUGAUCUGCCGGUCGCGACACGAUCUGUUGACUAUCUAGCUGUCUUUAAGAAUCUGCCUCACUUUCUAAUAUAGGACUUACUGUCUUUCUCUAUUUUGCUUUUUUCUUUAUCUCUAUCUGUACACUCUUACAAAAAACAACCACAACCCAUAGCUACUGUAUGUAUACUGCGUUAGACUUGUGUGUGAGUGAGACAAUUUCUACUGCACUUAUUUAUUGCUGUUCUUGUGUUGCUAUAAUUGGUUAUAUUAUUUACCUCAUUUGUAAGUGGCUUUGGACAAAAGCGUCUGCUAAAUGACUAAAUGUAAAUGUACAUCAAAUUUAACCGUCACCUUCUGUCUUUCAACGGCUACAAUGAGAUAGUCGAGGUCAGAUCCAUCCCCAUUGACCUUCAAAAUGUGUUUCCCGGACAGGGUUUAGGUUAAUCCAGGACUAGGCCUAAUCAGAGCCGGAUUAAAUAAAUGGACUACACUAGGCAGGCUGCAUUUUUUGCCCCCCCCCCAUCGAGGUUAUUUAUGAAUUUAAAUCUGAAACUUACCAAAGUUACAAAUAAAAGUAAAUUCACAUUUUACAUAGCCUAGUCUUUGGUUACAAAUUGUUUGUAUGCCAAAUUAAGUCUUGUGUUGUAUAUUAACCAGUCUAUCAGACUAUUUUUUGCUAAAUGUAUUAUUUAUACGUCAUUACACGGCUCUAUUAAAUGCUAUUAAAUUGAUUAUCCUCACCUUAUCCAUUGGGAGUGUCAUUAUUAAGGCAGUAGUACCAGUAAAUAACCAAUAGGUGUCAGUAAUCCGCGGGAGAACUUCGCUGCAUAUUUCUCUUCAAGAUUGAGAAUCGCAACGAAAUCCUCGUCGAGCAACACGUCCACUGAGCAACCAUGUCUGUGUCCUUAAAGGAACUCUGUCAGGUACAGAGUGGAACGAUGAACUUGAAAAUCAACCAUUCUGAUGACUGGCGUCCCCAUCCGAGUCACCACCUCAGACAACAACAGUCAUAAACUCACAAACACAAAUACACUCAGUAAUGCGCUUAAUAAAGAAAGACUUAACUAUGA